rnacentral:miRNA from 1 species
AACUUGUUUCGUAUGACAAGCAAUGCUUGCCACACUCAUUAGGUGAAUUUAAAAAAAAAAAAAUUUAAUUUAAUUUAAAUUCACCUGAUGAGUGUGGCAAGCAUUGCUUGUCAUACGAAACAAGUUUG